rnacentral:rRNA from 1 species
AUUGAACGCUGGCGGCAGGCCUCAUACAUGCAAGUCGAACGAGAAAGUAUCUUCGGAUACGAGUACAGUGGCGGACGGGUGAGUAAUACAUAGGAAUCUACCCAAUGGAGGGGGAUAGCUCGAGGAAACUCGAAUUAAUACCGCAUAAUCUCCACGGAGUAAAGAGGGCUUCGGCUCUUGCCAUCGGAUGAGCCUAUGCAGGAUUAGCUUGUUGGUGAGGUAAAAGCUCACCAAGGCAACGAUCCUUAGCUGGUUUGAGAGGAUGACCAGCCACAUCGGGACUGAGACACGGCCCGGACUUCUACGGAAGGCAGCAGUAGGGAAUAUUGGACAAUGAGCGAAAGCUUGAUCCAGCCAUGCCGCGUGUGCGAUGACGGCCUUCGGGUUGUAAAGCACUUUAGGUAACGAGGAAAAGUUAGGUGUUAAUACCAUCUAACCUUGACGUUAAUUACAGAAUAAGCACCGGCUAAAUCCG